rnacentral:rRNA from 1 species
UACGUAGGGGGCAAGCGUUGUCCGGAUUUAUUGGGCGUAAAGCGCUCGCAGGUGGUUCGUUGCGUCGUGCGUGAAAGACCCCGGCUCAACUGGGGGGUGUCGUGCGGAUACGGGCGAACUGGAGGCCAGUAGGGGGAUGCGGAAUCCGGGUGUAGUGGUGGAAUGCGUAGAGAGUCCGGAGGAACACCGAGCGGCGGAAGGCGGCAUCCUGGACUGGUCCUGACACUCAGGAGCGAAAGCGUGGGGAGCGAGUCCGG